UCACCCAAGUGAAGUUAGCCAGUAGAUUGAGAAAUAAAAAUUAUGGAAGACGCGAAGCACCCUCGUCUCAUCCUCCAUGAAUUCCUUUCCCUCGAUGAAUGCAAGGAAUUGGAAUUCAUUCAUAAGAGUAGCAGUACUGUGGGCUAUCGUCCCAACGUCUUCUCCACCACUCUCUCUUAUCUCAUCGCUACGAAUUGUCCCCACUUUAUCAUCCCUUUCGUUCCCAUCCGAGAGAGGUUGAAAGAGAAGGUAGAGGAGUUCUUUGGCUAUUAGUAUGAGCUAUUCGUGGAAUUCACUGGUUUGAUUAGCUGGACUAAAGGAGCCAGCUUUGGAUGGCACAGUGAUGAUAAUAGGCCCUAUCUGAAACAACGGGACUUCACGGAAAGUGAUCAUAUUUAUCUCUUUGCUUUUAUGUACAAUUCGAUUGUUGGAAAGCCUCGGAGUUGCUUAUAUCCCACCAGGAAAGUGGCAAGGUAAUACAAUUAUCACAAUCACAAAGGGAGAAAAUUAUUGCCUUGACGUCUUUCGUUUUGAUGGAUCAUCAGCUGGUGGAAUUGGGGUUCAGCUGUGUCAACGGCAAACGGAAAUCCGAACGUUCCUUUGAUUGGGCAAACUUUUCUGCUGCCAUUAUUGCAUGGGAAGAUUAUUUACAUAAAUUACACAGAGUUACUAUUGAGCUUACCAUAUUGGAGAACAGAGGGAAUUAUAUACAUUGUUCCAUUUGAAGGUUCUUGACAAGGGAUUUCAAGUUGUUUAUAACAUUAGUCACUUGAGCUGCAGCAUUGGCUGGUUUUGUUGUUCGACAAUUUCCUUCCGCUUGCACUUUUACGUAUUCUUAAUGUAUGUAUUUCUGCUCUAAGUUGGAUUUUCUAAUACAAUUCAAACAGCAUAAGAUCAAAUUAUUUAUGUUGAUUUUUUGUGGAAUCCGUAAAAUGAGUAAAAUUGCUCUACAUGUUGGUUGAAACUCAAAGCAAUCCAAUGAUUGGAUCUCUCCUUGUGCUCUGAAAACGAAUGCGUGGAAAAAAGGAAAGCGUGGAAAUCAAAUGACAGUCCAUACUCUGGAAAGAGGCAAUGCUUGCAGAAAGAAAAAGGUCGUACCUGUGCUUGCUGCUGAUAUGUUGGAUACAGUGAUCAUGCCCGUUUAUAAUUGGAACAAGCUGCUGUAGAAGCUCUACUGUGAUUCCAUGGUGUCCUGCACUUAAGAUGGCAUGGUGACCUACAACAAGUUUCCAUUUUGCAGUGGAGCUGCUCAGUGCUGCAUCCACAUCCUAUUACAGAGGUGAAAUCAAAUCCAUCAUUACCUUUCCCAGUUGUGCAUUGAAUUAUUUGUUUUAUUUACCCAUUUUUGUUUGGAAUAAAUCAAAUAUGGAUUUAUUAGUAAAUUUAUAAAAUAUGCAUGUGAAUUUUGAAGCAUUACCUUCAACAGAUUUGCAAGGUAAGUCUCCCUAGGAGAAAUACCUUUCCAGUCAUAGUUAUGUUCUGGGUUUGUGAAGUAGUCAUUCACAAAUGGAGAUGUGUCCACAAAGAAAAUUUCAACAAUUUCUACAGAAAUAAGACAAAAAAAAAAUCAAAAUUAAUAUCGAUUAUGCCCUGAACAAAUCUCAAGCAGUUUGUUGCUUCAGGAUUUAAAUUUAUAGUAAAAAAAAAUUAAAAAUUGGGACUUCUUUUUCUUCUUCUUCUUAUUUUUUUGUUUACCUGCAUUGACUAUAAAUGACCUCAUGCAAAGCCAUCUGCUAUCCUUUUGUGUGAGGAUUGGAUUCAACUGUGCUUCAACAUCACCUCUGUAAUCAUGGUUACCCAAUACUGCAGAAAAGAAAAUAAUGAAAAAAUUAAUUAAAUAAAUGGUUUCAUAUUUCUCAAAGCAUUGAAUAAUAAAUAAUUGUAUUAAUUUUGGGGAAUUAACAUACCACUGUACCAUUGCUUUUGCAAGCUUGGGGCUGUGUAGAUAUUAGUAAAAGACUCAUAAAAAUUUGGAUCAUCAAUUCCUGUCAAGCCAUCUUCAUAAAAAUUAUCUCCAGUAGAUAUCACAAAAUCUAUGUCUAGUUCCUCUCCAAUUACUCCCAUCUGAAAAUCAUUUUACCAAAUAUAAAUAUAUACAUUUAUCAAAAAUGAUGAUUAAUGUCAUGUGAAAUUCUUCAGAAUUCAGUGUUCUAAAAAAAAAAAAAAACAAAAAAAAUUAAAUAAA